rnacentral:rRNA from 1 species
UACGGAGGAUCCAAGCGUUAUCCGGAAUCAUUGGGUUUAAAGGGUCCGUAGGCGGUUUAAUAAGUCAGUGGUGAAAGCCCAUCGCUCAACGGUGGAACGGCCAUUGAUACUGUUAGACUUGAAUUAUUAGGAAGUAACUAGAAUAUGUAGUGUAGCGGUGAAAUGCUUAGAGAUCACAUGGAAUACCAAUUGCGAAGGCAGGUUACUACUAAUGGAUUGACGCUGAUGGACGAAAGCGUGGGUAGCGAACAGG